AAUGAUCAUACAGUCUUAGAGCAAAUGAAAGUAGCAGUUGUCCAGAGGGGGCUUGGGCCAGCCAUCCGGCUGGAGAGACCUUCAGUAGGCUCAGAACAGCUGCGCUCAUUCACUCACUGUUCCACUUUCUUGUAAUGCCUGCACCAGUCACAGUGUGGACUGGGGACCAGACGCAGAUGCCCUGGCUGUCCUUGGCGGGCCUGGAAAGAGUGGAGCCCCAAGUUGCCGGCUGGCAAACCUCCAGCUGUGGCCCGUGGGGUUUGCUCCAUGGUGGCCUGGGCCACGCAGGCUGUACCAGCCAUGAGAUGCCAUGGAGCCAAAGGCUGCGACUGUAGCUGUUUGUGCUGCAGCCAACCUUUACCCAGUUCCUGACUGCUGUUUGUUUGGUUUGCCAUGGGUACUUCUGGGGACCUCCUGGCAGCAUGCUGGCCCGUGCAACUCUCCUCAUGCCAGUUGUAGGGUCCCUGUUCCUGUUUGGCCAAGGAAGGGAUUUCCUAAGUGUAUACAUAUUUAUUUAGCUUUGCCAUGUUUUGGAUGGCCUUGGACAUAGAAACUCAUUGCACAUUAGUUAAAUAACUAGGCCAGCAUUCUGAAAGACCCGACUCCAGACCUACUUCGGUGAUGGAGAUGGGCACAUGCAGGGUCAGGGUGCUUUGAAAGAGUCACACAUUCACCUUCCAACAGAGCAGCCUGAGGCUUCCCUAGUCUUGCAGGGUCAACUUGCUGAAAGCUCAGCCCUUGGCCCCAAAGGAGCUCUGAGGCCGCAGGCCCAGAGCCCCGAUGUCCCCGUGAGCUGGUGGCAGGGAAGCGGAAAAAGGCUUUCACACCGCCUCCCCCACAUAUGCUCACAGCCUCCCCUGGGCCCUUUCUUGCCUCUCACAUGGCCAUCCUGUGGGUUCUUUGGCCUGGGAGGUGCUGCUUCAGCCUCCCUCGGCCUUGAGGUGCUCCAAGACAGCGUCAGCACCUGGGCUAGAGGUCCGUGCUGCCCUGUGCAUCCUCAGAGUUUGACUGUAGUGUGCAUGUGUGCAUGCAUGUGCGUGUGUGUGCAUGUGUGUGCUUGUGUAUAUGUGUGCAUGUGUGUGCUUGUGUGCAUGUGUGCAUGCGCAUGUAUGCGUGCGCACCGUUAUUUUCUAAUGGACUGUGCAGGCAUCUGUUCUCCUCAUGGACCAGGAACUCAGUGAUCAGGGACUCCCCUGUUUACUUUGAUAUUCCAGCUGCCCUCCAGAGCGCCUAGCACAUAGUAGGUCUUCAGUGACUGCCAGAUGAGAGGAUAUUUAAAUGAGACGGCAGCUUUGGAGGGAUGACAACAGAUUGUGGUCUAAUCUCACGAUUUUUGCCUGAGAGAGAAUUGGCCCUACUCGAGGCGGGCUUUUUUUUUCUUUUCUUUUCUUUUCUUUUUUUUUUGAGAUGGAGUUUCACUCUUGUUGCCCACGCUGGAGUGCAAUGGUGCAAUCUCAGCUCACUGCAACGUCUGCCUCCCGGGUUCAAGCGAUUCUCCUGCCUCGGCCUCCUGAUUAGCUGGGAUUACAGGCAUGUGCCACUACCCGGCCAAUUUUGUAUUUUUAGUAGAGACGGGGCUUCUCCAUGUUGGUCAGGCUGGUCUGGAACUCCUGACCUCAAGUGAUCCACCUGCCUCGGCCUCCCGAAAUGCUGGGAUUACAGGCAUGAGCCACUGCGCCAGGCCAAGGCGGGCUUUAUUUGUGUCUGUUGGACACCUCACAUGGCACCUCACAGGGCGCUGGUUUAUAAAGACCCAAACCAGUGUCGAGUUCCAUGCUGGCCCCGGCGUCUGCUGUGUGCUUUCGCUGUGUGUAUACAUGCGGAAGUUCAUUCCGGAGGCUUCCAGGGUAGCCUCCCGGGUGCUGCAGCGGGUCUCCCGCUCAUCACUACUCUGUACACAAUGUCUUGAUACGCUGAGGAUUGAAAUGGAGCAGUGAUCCUGCCUCAAGGUAGACAGCAAAACCCAGGCUAUGUGGGAGUCAGUGUGGUAGGACUGAGGGCGUGCCUGAGGGACGGAUGCAGGGGCAGAGAGAGCAGCAGGUGAAGGCUGGGCCUCCUGCUGAAAGCCGGUAUUGCUGAGACUCCAGGGUCAGCCUUCCAGCUCCUCCUCCUGACUGACCGCUGGCAAUGUAGGGGUGACUGUCCCAGCCUCCUGCUGCAGGGCGCUCUGCCGUCAGUAGAGAAUCCUCCUCUGUCCCCGCGGUCCCCUCCCCGCUGAACAGCCUGGAUCCUGCUUUCACAGGGACAUGCGUGAAAUGGGUCCUGCGCCGUAAUUACUCCUGCUGGAGACCGGGAUUGCAAAGAUGACUGUCAUGUUGUCUCGUGCAUCUUACAUCUUUUACUGUGAUUAAAAAUAAAUGUCGUGGGGUUCACGUCCCACAGACCCUUAUGUACUGCAGAGGUCAAACUGGGGCGGGUUUCUCACACGCGUCAUCACGCGAGGCCAGUGUCCGUCGGGGUGUGUGUCUACAAGCACGGGGCUUCGUGGCCUAUCUUUAUGAACCCUCCAGGGUGAUGUGAAGCCAGCCACAAAC